UGAGUAACGGCGAGCGAAAGGGAACAGUCCAGCGCCGAAUCCCGCGCUCUUUGGGCGCCGGGAAAUGUGGCGUUUGGGAGUGAGCGUGCCGGAGGUCGACCCAGCAGCAAGUCCCCCUGACCGGGGCUCUUUCCCAGAGUGGGUGCGAGGCCCAUAGCUGCCAGGUCUCUUCCGGAUGCGAUCUCCUCGGAGUCGGGUUGCUUGGGAAUGCAGCCCUAAGUGGGUGGUAAACUCCACCUAAGACUAAAUACUGCCGUGAGACCGAUAGCAAACAAGUACCGUGAGGGAAAGUUGCAAAGAACUUUGAAGAGAGAGUUCAAGAGUACGUGAAACUGCUCAGAGGAAAACGGGUGGGCCCUCGAAAUCCUGUGGCGGGAGGAUUCAGUCGAGAGGUCCGGAGGCUAGUCCGAGGCUGUUAUGAGAAUGGAUCCCGCGACCGGGCCUCCUUGGAUUAGCUCUUUCGGAUCGACCGACGCAUUUCUUUCCCGCCCGAAGGACGCCGCAACGGGUUGGCGGGACGGCCUGAAGGACGGGAGCCGGCAGGUGGCCGGAGGUCCUUCCUCGUGGAGGUCUCUGGUUGUUAGCCUUUCCGUCGCACGGCCGUACCCCGACCCUGGUGACGCGAGGCCCGCAUGGGCUUCUCCGCCUCCUCCUUAAAUGGAUGCGAGCAGACGUGGCAGGUGAGGCCGCGCGUUCGCGGGCGCACGGACUGACGCCGUGGCCCUGCGACGCGAGGUCCCCGUUGGCUGCGCGUGGCUCGUCGGAGUGC
rnacentral:rRNA from 1 species